rnacentral:misc_RNA from 1 species
GAUGAAGAACGCAGCGAAAUGCGAUACGUAAUGUGAAUUGCAGAAUUCAGUGAAUCAUCGAAUCUUUGAACGCAUAUUGCGCUCUCUGGUAUUCCGGAGAGCAUGCUUGUUUGAGUAUCAGUAAACACCUCAACUUCCAUAUCUUUUUUGAAAUGGGAGUUGGACUUGAGUGAUCCCAACGCUUUUCGUCACCGAAAAGUGGCGGGUUACUUGAAAUGCAGGUGCAGCUGGACUUUUCUCUGAGCUAUAAGCCUAUCUAUUUAGUCUGCCUAAAAAACAGAUUAUUACCUUUGCUGCAGCUAACAUAAAGGAGAUUAGUUCUUGUGCUGACUGAUGCAGGAUUCACAAAGACAGGCUUCGGCCGACUUUGUAAACUCGAUCUCAAAUCAAGUAAGACUACCCGCUGAACUUAAGCAUAUCAAUAAGCGGAGGA